GACGAACGCUGGCGGCGUGCUUAACACAUGCAAGUCGAACGGAAAGGCCCUGCUUGCAGGGUACUCGAGUGGCGAACGGGUGAGUAACACGUGGGUGAUCUGCCCUGCACUUCGGGAUAAGCCUGGGAAACUGGGUCUAAUACCGGAUAGGAGCCAUUUUUAGUGUGAUGGUUGGAAAGUUUUUUCGGUGUAGGAUGAGCUCGCGGCCUAUCAGCUUGUUGGUGGGGUAAUGGCCUACCAAGGCGGCGACGGGUAGCCGGCCUGAGAGGGUGGACGGCCACAUUGGGGCUGAGAUACGGCCCAGACUCCUACGGGAGGCAGCAGUGGGGAAUAUUGCACAGUGGGCGCAAGCCUGAUGCAGCGACGCCGCGUGGGGGAUGACGGCCUUCGGGUUGUAAACUCCUUUCGCUAGGGACGAAGCUUUUUGUGACGGUACCUAGAGAAGAAGCACCGGCUAACUACGUG
rnacentral:rRNA from 1 species